rnacentral:lncRNA from 1 species
ACGGAUAGCGCACAGACGGCGGCUCUGCUUGCCGGUGGCGGCCCGAGGCGGACAUGACGGAUAGCGCACAGACGGCGGCUCUGCUUGCCGGUGGCGGCCGCGGCCGGAGCGCACGGACGGCGGCUCUGCUUGCCGGUGGUGGCCCGAGGCGGACGAGACUAACUCGGGAGAUCGACUCAGCGCACGGACGGCUGCUCUGCUUGCCGAUGGCGGCCGGAGGCGGACGGGACUCAAGCACUGCUACUCCGACUUCAUCGUCCACGAGGUCGCCCGCGACGGCUCCGUCGUCCACCUCACCUCCCUCGAUCUUCCCGACUAGGUAUUCACGUCUCC